UCUACACGCGGCGCGAUCUCUGCGAACAGCUCCUCUCUGUUAUCUACGUUUUCGUGGCCUGUGUUCACCGCAAAAACUGUAGAGGCGAGCUCACGCUGAAGUUAUUAAACGAUGUAGGCUUUGGUUGCGGUUGGUACCGUUUGUUAGACUCAUUUCGAGGCGUUGCGUCGUGGGGGUGGGCGGGCCAGAGCUGCAUCGUUCGUUGGCUUGUUCAUACUCUUCCUCCUCCUCACGCACGGCCGAUGCAGCCUCAGGUGGCCUCAGAAAUCCUAGCAUUGGUGUAGCCAGGGUUCAUCGGAGCGCCCGUGCAGACGACGAUGGGCUGACCACUGCUGCCUCAGGGACCUGCUGGGAGUCGUGCCAGAUGGGACACGCCAGCAAUUGUAGAUUACCAAGAAACUGUGUACAAGAUUUCCUGCACGAACCAUGACGCGGCCUAAAGAUCGCCGAAACGAGUGCCGCAAGUCUCAAUGAGGCACCAGGAGGGCGAAGCAUCGUUGAGAAAUGGCGUCGUAGUCGAGGGCCGAGUAUACAUGGUCCCCUUUGGGUCAAGACUGCCGGUAACGAGCAAGCGAAAGCUGAGCUUUCUACUGCAGACUACAUGACUGAAAUGCGUUGCCCCUUCAGUCACGCUGUGGACAUUUGCGUACUCAACUAUAGUCUGAUAUUCUAACGCCAUGUGGUGCAGCGUAGCCUAAGUUGCUUUCUCCCCGUUAACUGAUUUAAACCCGUUUUAACUAGCAAAAUGUUUUACCCGGUUUUGUCCUAUAGUGGCGUGAAAAA